rnacentral:rRNA from 1 species
GAGUGAACGCUGGCGGUAGGCCUAACACAUGCAAGUCGAACGGCAGCCCAGUAAGAGCUUGCUCUUACGGGUGGCGAGUGGCGGACGGGUGAGGAAUACAUCGGAAUCUACUUUUUCGUGGGGGAUAACGUAGGGAAACUUACGCUAAUACCGCAUACGACCUACGGGUGAAAGCAGGGGAUCUUCGGACCUUGCGCGAUUGAAUGAGCCGAUGUCGGAUUAGCUAGUUGGCGGGGUAAAGGCCCACCAAGGCGACGAUCCGUAGCUGGUCUGAGAGGAUGAUCAGCCACACUGGAACUGAGACACGGUCCAGACUCCUACGGGAGGCAGCAGUGGGGAAUAUUGGACAAUGGGCGCAAGCCUGAUCCAGCCAUACCGCGUGGGUGAAGAAGGCCUUCGGGUUGUAAAGCCCUUUUGUUGGGAAAGAAAAGCAGCAGGUUAAUACCCCGCUGUUCUGACGGUACCCAAAGAAUAAGCACCUGCUAACUUCGUG